rnacentral:lncRNA from 1 species
UUUUCUAGUGUAGCUGAUUUGCUGCCACAGCAAGAUGGUCCAAUUUUUAUUAGCCUAAUGAUGGAAAACUCGUUUUUUGAGCGGUUCUGUGGAUUAUUGUUAGGAGCCUUUUCUAUCAUUUUUGCUGUACUAGCCAUUAUCAUCAUCAAAAACACCAUCCUCUGUCUGUCUGUCUGUCUCUCCCUCUCUCUCUCUCUCUCUCUCUCUCUCUCUCUCUCUCUCUCUCUCUCUCUCUCUCUCUCUCUCUCUCUCUCUCUCUCUCUCUCUCCCUGGCUUGUAUGGUUGAAGAUGUGAAGAGGCUCGUAGUGAUAAUCCAGUGGUUAACCGUCAAUGACCAGAUAUAGCUAUGAGAUCUGAAGGCUUGUCCAGAGACAUUUGUUCCUCCUAAGAUAUGUGAUUGAAUCUUAAAUCAUUUUUGUUCCUCAGUUAUUCUAUGGUUGUAUUUUCUUAGUUUCCACAUAUUUAUUACACUUCUCCUUUAUUACAUCCUUUAUUUACCAUUGCAUCGAAGUUGCGACUGCGUUUCGUUGUAGUAGUGAUGCUGUGUUAACGAUCAGAUCUACUCUUUUGUCUAUUCUGUGUCUCCAUGAUAUAACUGUAGAUGCCCACUGGUUUUUGUUUUUUUUUUAAGAAUGUUUUCUAGUGUAGCUAUUUUGCUGCCUCAGAAAUAUGGUUCAAUUUUUAUUAGCCUAAUGAUGGAAAACUCAUUUUUGGAGCGGUUCUGUGGAUUAUUGUUAGGAGCCUUUUCUAUCAUUUUUGCUUACUAGCCAUUAUCAUCAUCAUAAACACCAUCCUCUAUCUAUCCAUCUCUCUCUCUCUCUCUCUCUCUCUCUCUCUCUCUCUCUCUCUCUCUCUCUCUCGCUCUCUCUCUCUCUCUCCCUCCCUCCCUCCCCCCUGGCUUGUAGUGUUGAAGAUGUGAAGAGGCUCAUAGUGAUUAUCCAGUGGUUAACUGUCAAUGACCAGACAUAGCUAUGAGAUCUGAAGGCUUGCCCAGAAACAUUUGUUUCUUUUAAGAUAUGUUUAUUGAAUCUUAAAUCAUUUUUGUUCCUUAGUUAUUCUAUGGUUGUAUUUUCUUGGUUUCCACAUAUUUAUUAUGCUCCUCCUUUAUUAUGUCCUUUAUUUACCAUUGCUUCGAAGUUGCGACUGCAUUUCAUUGUAGUAGUGAUGCUGUGUUGACGAUCAGAUCUACUCUUUUGUCUAUUCUGUGCGUCUGCAUGAUAUAACUGCAUAUGCCCACUCGUUUUUGUUUAUUGUUUUUAACCAUGUUUUCUAGUGUAUCUAUUUUGCUGCCUCAGGAAGAUGGUUCAAUGUUUAUUAGCCUAAUGAUGGAAAACUCAUUUUUGGAGCGGUUCUGUGGAUUAUUGUUAGGAGCCUUUUCUAUCAUUUUUGCUGUACUAGCCAUUAUCAUCAUCAUAAACACCAUCCUCUCUCUCUGUCUCUCUGUCUCUCUGUCUCUCUCUCUCACUCUCUCUCUGUCUCUCUCUCUCUCUCUGUGGCUUGUACGGUUGGAGAUGUGAAGAGGCUCGUAGUGAUAAUCCAGUGGUUAACCGUCAAUGACCAGAUAUAGCUAUGAGAUCUGAAGGCUUGCCCAGAGACAUUUGUUCCUUUUAAGAUAUGGUUAUUGAAUCUUAAAUCAUUUUUGUUCCUCAGUUAUUCUAUGGUUGUAUUUUCUUGGUUUCCACAUUUUUUACACUCCUCCUUUAUUAUGUCCUUUAUUUACCAUUGCAUCAAAGUUGCGACUGCGUUUUGUUGUAGUAGUGAUGCUGUGUUAACGAUCAGAUCUACUCUUUUGUCUAUUCUGUGUCUCCAUGAUAUAACUGUAGAUGCCCACUCGUUUUUGUUUUUUUUAAACUGUGUUUUCUAGUGUAGCUAUUUUGCUGCCUCAGGACGAUGGUUCAAUUUUUAUUAGCCUAAUGAUGGAAAACUCAUUUUUGGAGCGGUUCUGUGGAUUAUUGUUAGGAGCCUUUUCUAUCAUUUUUGCUUACUAGCCAUUAUCAUCAUCAUAAACACCAUCCUCUAUCUAUCCAUCUCUCUCUCUCUCUCUCUCUCUCUCUCUCUCUCUCUCUCUCGCGCGGGCGUGUAGAGAUGAAGAUAAAAAGAGGCUCAUAGUGAUAAUCCAGUGGUUAAAUGUCAAUGAAUAUAUAUAGCUAUGAGAUCUGAAGGCUUGUCUAUAGACAUUUUUUGUCCUUCUAAGAUAUGCUUAUUAAAUUGUAAAUCACUUUUCGUCCUUAGUUAUUCUAUGGUGUUUUAUCUUCAUUUCUACAUAUCUAUUACGCUCCUCUUUAUUAUGCCCCUUAUUGACCAUUAUAUGGAAUUUGUGACUGCAUUUCGUUUUAAACAUUUGCACUGAAUAAUAUGUAUUUCCCAUGUGGUGCAAAUAUCCUUCCCAAGGUGCCCUUGAAACGCUGAUAAAAUUAAUGUGAUGGAACUUCAGUCAACUGCAAAUAGUAGAGCGUCCUGGAAUGUGGUUAUUUUGACAUUGUCAAUGGCACAGUUAAGAGUUUCAAUUGGUUUGUUUUUCUUUUGGUUUGGUGUGACUAUUUGGCAACUAUUGUAUGAAAUUUUGUUUGCUAGUGCUAGUUUAGAUAUUUAAGGUGUAUGGCUAACUGUAUGAGAUUCCAUAGAUUAAAUUGUGUUUGAUGGUAGAUUCCAUUUUAGUACUCCAUUGAUCUGAUCUUUGUUGGAAUUCAAAUAAAAGGUGAAGUUAUUAUUGUAGGUUUGAGCAUAUGAGACUUUAAAAAACAACGCUGUACUAAUGAUCAGAUCUAGUGUCUUUUGUUUAUUCUGUGCCUUUCCACGUUCUACUUGUGGUUGUCUGAGUUUAUAUUUCUUGCCUUUUUUAUUUUUUGGGAUUACCUUGUAAUGUAAUCUAACAAAUUUGCUGCCUCAGAAAAUUGGUGCAAUUUUUUAUUAGCCUGGUGAUGGAAACCUCUUUUUUUUGUUAUGAUUUUUAUAGCACUUUAUAUUAUAAGACUGCAGGUACCUGAAUAGUUUUUUGUAACACAGUUUCUUAUUACUUUCAAUGAGCUUUAAAAUUUAAAUCUGGUUUUCAUUUGUGAAGUACAGAACAGUUAUGAACUGUUUGAGUACCUUUGAGCUUACUUGAUGUCUCAAUUUUCUUACUAGAUAUAUUUAUAUAAACUAAAAUCUUUAGAAUAUUUAAGAAUAUAUAUUAAUUUAUAAUUUAUAUAUUAAUUAUUUAAUUGAAAUGUAAUUUAAUGGUGUCAGGCAUUUGAUGUCAAGUUGGUUCAAAAUCCGCCAAUGUCUAUGACCAUGGUUUGUAUUAUGGCUUGUUGUGUAUAAUGGCAUAGUUUUUAAGUGGAUUUUAAAAUUUUCUUUUCCGUGGUCUGGGUUAAUUGCUAAGUGGGACUUUGGUGAACAAUGAUACAUGCAUUGGGCUUGGAGCAGUUUAUGACUGCAGCCAUUGAUGGAAAUGCAACCUAGAAAGCUAUAUAUGACCCCUGUAGAAAUCCUUGCAUUCCUGUGAUACGGGUGUUGCAAUGUUAGGAUGAAAUUUUUAUCUGCUAGUUGUAGGGGUAUGGCUGACUGCAAGAGAUUCCAUACAAGUAAAUUGUGUUUAUCUGGUAUAUUUUCAAAUUGGGUGUUCAGGACAUGGUGUUGAUUGAAAAUCUACUCAUGCUCAUGGCUACGGUCGUAUUUGUGGCGAGUAAUUUAUAGUGAAUUGGUAUUAAAAUCGAGUGAUGUACAUGCAUGCACUGAGCUCCGAGCUGUGGUUAUUGAUGGAAAUGCAGGCAGCUUAGAAAACUAUAUAUGAGCCUCCAUGAAAUCCUUUUGCUUUUCUGUUCGCAGGUGUUGGAUUUAAAAUGAAAUUUCUGUUUGGGCUAGAUUGGAUUCUUAAGGUAUGGAUUGGACUUUGUAGUAUUAAACUGUGUAUGGAAGUGGAUUUUGUGUGAUUACAAUCAUUGGAUCAGUUGCACUCCUUUGGCCUGAUGAUGGAAAACUCAUUUCUGGGAGCGGUACUAUGGAUUAUUAUAAGUAUGAGCCUUUUCUAUCAUUCUUUCCAUGCUAGUCCUCAUCAUCAUCAUCAUCAUCAUCAUCAUCACCACCACUCUCUUUCUCUCUCUCUCUCUCUCUCUCUCUCUCUCUCUCUCUCUGUGGCAUGCAUGGCCGAAGAUGUGAAGAGGCUCAUACUGAUAAUCCAGCAGCUAACCGUCGAUGACCAGAUAUAGCUAUGAGAUCUGAAGGCUUA